rnacentral:rRNA from 1 species
GACGAACGCUGGCGGCGUGCCUAAUACAUGCAAGUCGAGCGGAACUGGGGGAGCUUGCUCCUUCCAGUUUAGCGGCGGACGGGUGAGUAACACGUGGGCAACCUGCCCUGCAGAUCGGGAUAACUCCGGGAAACCGGUGCUAAUACCGAAUAGUUUGGCGCCUCUCCUGAGGCGCUACGGAAAGACGGUUUCGGCUGUCACUGCAGGAUGGGCCCGCGGCGCAUUAGCUAGUUGGUGGGGUAACGGCCCACCAAGGCGACGAUGCGUAGCCGACCUGAGAGGGUGGCCGGCCACACUGGGACUGAGACACGGCCCAGACUGCUACGGGAGGCAGCAGUAGGGAAUCUUCCGCAAUGGACGCAAGUCUGACGGAGCAACGCCGCGUGAGUGACGAAGGUUUUCGGAUCGUAAAACUCUGUUGUGAGGGAAGAACACGUACCAACUAACUAUUGGUACCUUGUCGGUACCUCACCAGAAAGCCACGGCUAACUACGUGCCAGCCGCCGCAGUAA